UCCAGCUCCAAUAGCGUAUAUUAAAGUUGUUGCAGUUAAAAAGCUCGUAGUUGGAUUUGUGGUGCGACGGAUCGGUCCGACCUUUGGUGGGUACUCGAUGUUGUCGCGCCAUCCUUGAGUGGUUCGUCCUGGCAUUAAGUUGUCGGGGCGGCAGCCGCUCAUCGUUUACUGUGAGAAAAUUAGAGUGUUCAAAGCAGGCUUAUGCCGUUGAAUAUACUAGCAUGGAAUAAUAAGAUAGGACCUCGGUACUAUUUUGUUGGUUUGAGAACCAAGGUAAUGAUCAAUAGGGACAGUUGGGGGUAUUCGUAUUCAGUUGUCAGAGGUGAAAUUCUCGGAUU
rnacentral:rRNA from 1 species